ACAAGCAGGCAGGAUGGCUGCAGUCAGAACGUAACAUUUAUUUCUACUGCUCCUUGUUCUUUUCAUCUGAUCCAUCACAAGUUUGUGGUACAUAGGAAAUCAGAGUCCAAUUCUGAAUCAUUUCUCCCACUGAUUGCCUGCUGUGUGUUGGCUUGGUUCACAGAGAGGUUUUGUUUUUCAUGAACUGGAAUGGGAAAAACUACCAGAGUUUCACUGCAGGCCUCACUAGCUGUGCAGUGCAGUACAAGGAAUGGGCUCAUAUCCAAUGCCCUAUGAAAUAGAUAGAAAUUGAUUCCAGUGCACCUACAAUUGAUCUCAAGUUGCAGAACAGCAAAAAGAACUUGGAGAUUCUUGAUGACUUACUUCUCUUCAGUAAAUGAAUAUUACCUUACAUUUGUGGAAAUGGAAGUCAAGGAAGGGAACAGGUCGAAGACAACCCGCUUCUCUGUAAGAGAAAGAAAACAGAUGAUGGAGAAAACACAGAAAUGUCUUAGCAAAAAAUAAAGUUUCUCUUCUUA